GCUCUUCCGAUCUCAGUGCUAUGCAUGGUUCCUUGGUAACCUCUAGUUUGAUCAGGGAAACUAUUGAAAAUGAAUCUGCUAAUGAGGGUUACAAAUUUGGUCAAGAGGAAGAAACUUAUAAUAUUGUGGCUGCUCAUGGUUAUUUUGGC